rnacentral:rRNA from 1 species
CCUACGGGAGGCAGCAGUGGGGAAUAUUGCACAAUGGGCGCAAGCCUGAUGCAGCGACGCCGCGUGAGGGAUGACGGCCUUCGGGUUGUAAACCUCUUUCAGUAGGGAAGAAGCGAAAGUGACGGUACCUGCAGAAGAAGCGCCGGCUAACUACGUGCCAGCAGCCGCGGUAAUACGUAGGGCGCAAGCGUUAUCCGGAAUUAUUGGGCGUAAAGAGCUCGUAGGCGGUUUGUCGCGUCUGCCGUGAAAGUCCGGGGCUCAACUCCGGAUCUGCGGUGGGUACGGGCAGACUAGAGUGAUGUAGGGGAGACUGGAAUUCCUGGUGUAGCGGUGAAAUGCGCAGAUAUCAGGAGGAACACCGAUGGCGAAGGCAGGUCUCUGGGCAUUAACUGACGCUGAGGAGCGAAAGCAUGGGGAGCGAACAGGAUUAGAUACCCUGGUAGUCCAUGCCGUAAACGUUGGGCACUAGGUGUGGGGGACAUUCCACGUUUUCCGCGCCGUAGCUAACGCAUUAAGUGCCCGCCGNGGGAGGUACGGCCGCGAGACGUAAACGUUAAAGUAGUUAGUUAGUACGGCGUUGAGAGNGCCGACGGACGACGACGAGGGAGGAGG